CCUACGGGCGGCAGCAGUGAGGAAUAUUGGUCAAUGGACGGAAGUCUGAACCAGCCAUGCCGCGUGCAGGAAGACGGCUCUAUGAGUUGUAAACUGCUUUUGUACAAGGGUAAACCUGAAUACGUGUAUUCAGCUGAAAGUACUUUACGAAUAAGGAUCGGCUAACUCCGUGCCAGCAGCCGCGGUAAUACGGAGGAUCCAAGCGUUAUCCGGAUUUAUUGGGUUUAAAGGGUGCGUAGGCGGAUUGAUAAGUUAGUGGUGAAAUGUCCGAGCUUAACUGGGGAACUGCCAUUAAUACUGUUGAUCUAGAGAGUAGAUGCGGUAGGCGGAAUGUAUGGUGUAGCGGUGAAAUGCUUAGAGAUCAUACAGAACACCGAUUGCGAAGGCAGCUUACUAAUCUAUAUCUGACGUUGAGGCACGAAAGCGUGGGUAGCAAACAGGAUUAGAUACCCUUGUAGUC
rnacentral:rRNA from 1 species